AGAGUUUGAUCAUGGCUCAGGAUGAACGCUGGCGGCGUGCCUAACACAUGCAAGUCGAGCGAUUCUCUUCGGAGAAGAGCGGCGGACGAGUGAGUAACGCGUGGGUAACCUGCCUCAUACACAUGGAUAACAUACCGAAAGGUAUGCUAAUACAAGAUGAUAUAAGAGAUUCGCAUGGAUUUCUUAUCAAAGCUCCGGCGGUAUGAGAUGGACCCGCGUCUGAUUAGCUAGUUGGUAAGGUAACGGCUUACCAAGGCGACGAUCAGUAGCCGACCUGAGAGGGUGAUCGGCCACAUUGGAACUGAGACACGGUCCAAACUCCUACGGGAGGCAGCAGUGGGGAAUAUUGCACAAUGGGCGAAAGCCUGAUGCAGCAACGCCGCGUGAGCGAUGAAGGCCUUCGGGUCGUAAAGCUCUGUCCUCAAGGAAGAUAAUGACGGUACUUGAGGAGGAAGCCCCGGCUAACUACGUGCCAGCAGCCGCGGUAAUACGUAGGGGGCUAGCGUUAUCCGGAUUUACUGGGCGUAAAGGGUGCGUAGGUGGUUUCUUAAGUCAGGAGUGAAAGGCUACGGCUCAACCGUAGUAAGCUCUUGAAACUGGGAAACUUGAGUGCAGGAGAGGAAAGUGGAAUUCCUAGUGUAGCGGUGAAAUGCGUAGAUAUUAGGAGGAACACCAGUAGCGAAAGCGGCUUUCUGGACUGUAACUGACACUGAGGCACGAAAGCGUGGGGAGCAAACAGGAUUAGAUACCCUGGUAGUCCACGCCGUAAACGAUGAGUACUAGGUGUCGGGGGUUACCCCCCUCGGUGCCGCAGCUAACGCAUUAAGUACUCCGCCUGGGGAGUACGCUCGCAAGAGUGAAACUCAAAGGAAUUGACGG
rnacentral:rRNA from 1 species